AGCGAACGCUGACGGCAGGCCUAACACAUGCAAGUCGAACGAACUCUUCGGAGUUAGUGGCGGACGGGUGAGUAACACGUGGGAACGUGCCUUUAGGUUCGGAAUAACUCAGGGAAACUUGUGCUAAUACCGAAUGUGCCCUUCGGGGGAAAGAUUUAUCGCCUUUAGAGCGGCCCGCGUCUGAUUAGCUAGUUGGUGAGGUAAAGGCUCACCAAGGCGACGAUCAGUAGCUGGUCUGAGAGGAUGAUCAGCCACAUUGGGACUGAGACGCGGCCCAAACUCCUACGGGAGGCAGCAGUGGGGAAUCUUGCGCAAUGGGCGAAAGCCUGACGCAGCCAUGCCGCGUGAAUGAUGAAGGUCUUAGGAUUGUAAAAUUCUUUCACCGGGGACGAUAAUGACGGUACCCGGAGAAGAAGCCCCGGCUAACUUCGUGCCAGCCGCCGCAGUAA
rnacentral:rRNA from 1 species